rnacentral:rRNA from 1 species
CUACGAGGGGUGCAAGCGUUAUUCGGAAUCAUUGGGCGUAAAGGGUGUGUAGGCGGCGUACUAAGUCAACUGUUAAAUCCCCCAGCCUAACUGGGGACCAGCGGUAGAUACUGGUAUGCUCGAGGAUGGAAGAGAGAAGCGGAAUUCUUGGAGUAGCGGUAAAAUGCGUAGAUCUCAAGAGGAACACCGAUGGCGAAGGCAGUUUCUUGGUCCAUUUCUGACGCUAAGGCACGAAAGCGUGGGGAGCAAACAGGAUUAGAAACCCGAGUAGUCC